UCAAGGUGUCUGCUGGGGGGUUGCCUCAGAGCUUCUUGCAUUCUGCUGACCUGAAACACAUAGAUGGUCAGAUGUUUCUCCAGCAAAGAUGGAUUUACUCAAGAUCAACAGAGAAUUGCAGUUUGGGGUCUGCAUCCAUGCCUGGUACCAGCAACCUCUCCGCAGUCACUCGGGUUGGAAACGCCACAGCUACGACCUCCUCUUUCUCUGUCGCAUCCAGCCAAGUGCAAAGUCCUCCACAGCAUCCCAGUUCAGUGUCUCUCCAAGGCCCGGCCCUGCCUUCCCUGGGGCCCUCAGCAGCCUUGGCCAGGUGCCUACAUCUCCUCUCCGAUUCCGCUGUGAUUCUUGCCCUUCCACGUCUCCGUGUGCCCACCACACCGCUUCCCUGAUCAAAUCCCCUAUGGCACCUAGAGCUUCUUAGAAGAAUAGAGGCAGCUCUCCAGGUUCUGUCUAUAAAAUUUUUUUGUUUGUUUUCUA